rnacentral:rRNA from 1 species
UACGGAGGGUGCAAGCGUCAAUCGGAAUUACUGGGCGUAAAGGGUGCGUAGGUUGUUGUAUAAGUUAUCUGUGAAAUCCCUGGGCUUAACCUGGGCAGGUCAGAUAAGACUGUAUGACUCGAGUAUAGGAGAGGGUAGUGGAGUUUCCGGUGUAGCGGUGAAAUGCGUAGAGAUCGGAAGGAACACCAGUGGCGAAGGCGGCUACCUGGCCUGAUACUGACACUGAAGCACGAAAGCAAGGGGAUCAAACAGG